ACCAUCCUAAGAACUUGCAACACCAAAAUUAUAUCUUAUGAUAAAGUUUAAAGGUGCACCUUAAUUUGAUUGUUUAAGGUUGCAACCUUAUGCAAACCAUACCACUCAAAAUUCAUUCUUUUGACUAUUUCGUGUACCAUUUGUAUAGAGCCGAGGCUCUAAACAAUCAAAGUAAAGUGCACUGUUGAGAAAUGUGGUUUCAUGUUUUGAACCCAGUGACUCAGGUUUAGGUCCAAAUGGCUUGGACUUGAGCCGAGUCAGAUCUGGCAUGGACCCUAUCGGGUUGGGUCAAGUCUAGGUCAACCCAGC
rnacentral:lncRNA from 1 species